CGUGCGUGCGCGUGUGCCUGUGUGUGUGUGUGUGUGUGUGUGUGUGUCGCGCCAGGGUCUUGUCAUUCCCCAAACCCUCAGG
rnacentral:miRNA from 1 species